UCCGAUGUGGUCUAGUGGCUAGGAUAGGUGGCUUUCACCCACGCGGCCCGGGUUCGAUUCCCGGUAGGGGAA
rnacentral:tRNA from 1 species